CCAGAAAUGAAUAGCCUCAUCAGACUGGUUUGGUUUGAAUUGAAUUGCAUUGGAGUGUGGAAACUAUUACCAGUAGUGCAGAUUGGUCAUGUCAUUCGGUCAUUGUGCACUGUUCAUUUCAGCCUUAUUGUUUUCGUAUUUAUGCUCUUAAAUUCAGCCUAGGUGCUUGUUGCUUUAUCUUCCUCCGUUGGGUUCGCAAGGCUAUCAGAUUUCAUUUCCUCGGUUUUGGUUGUAUCUCUCUGUCCUCAGUCACCUUCUGCUGCUGCUCCAACCUUCAGGUGUUUUCGGGAGAACCAAUUGACUGCUGUUUGUCUCUCUUCUCUUUGACACAAGUUCAAAUGGCAGCUAGCAAACCAGCAUUUUUUCAGGUCCUCAUUGGUGAUUUCUGCCGGCGCCUGAGAAUACCAAAUGCGUUUGUGGAAGAGUUCAUGGGAACACCGCCUUGUAAAUGUGUUCUUAAAGGUCCCGAUGGACAAAGCUGGAAUGUGCCACUGGAAGAGAGAGAAAGUGGCUUGUUCUUUUGUAAGGGUU